GAUGAACGCUGGCGGCGUGCUUAACACAUGCAAGUCGAACGGAAAGGCCCAAGCUUGCUUGGGUACUCGAGUGGCGAACGGGUGAGUAACACGUGGGUGAUCUGCCCUGCACUUCGGGAUAAGCCUGGGAAACUGGGUCUAAUACCGGAGAGGACGAUGGGUUGGAUGCCAUUGUGGAGAGAAUUUUCGUUGUGGGAUGAGCUCGCGGCCUAUCAGCUUGUUGGUGGGGUCAUGGCCUACCAAGGCGUCGACGGGGAGCCGGCCUGAGAGGGUGUACGGCCACAUUGGGCCUGAGAUACGGCCCAGACUACUACGGGAGGCAGAAGUGGGGAAUAUUGGACAAUGGGCGCCAGCCUGAUGCAGCGACGCCGCGUGGGCGAUGACGGCCUUCGGGUUGUAAACUCCUUUCGCUAGGGAAGAAGCGUUUUUGUGACGGUACCUGGAGAAGAAGCCCCGGCUAACUACGUG
rnacentral:rRNA from 1 species